GCGCACUAUGAUGGAAUCGACAAGUCGGCAGCAAAGACCAUUUCUGAUGCAACGCGCUUUCUCAAGAAUCAGGAGUCAUGGAGUUCUUGGAUUUGCCUCAAUUCCCGUUGUGAUGGCAAGAAGUUUCAGACACUAGUUCGCUCUGGCAACACAUAUGCAGCAAGCACCGAGAUGAGCUCUGGGGGAAGCUGCAGUCACUUAUAGAUCCAGUAUAUUAUGAGAAUACAUCACAGGAUGAUCACUCGUUGGUUGGGAUAACUCUCAGCCGCCAGUCUGACACCUUCCUUUUACCAAGGGUGCAGGAUAUGUUUGAAUCCUUGCUGCUUUCACCAUCUGUUGGAAUACAGGCAGAGCCCUUCACUGAAAUGCGACAAAGGAAAUGCAGAGAAGGAUCUGAGAUCCUUGGGAGCAUCAGGGAGAAGCUGAGGAUGUUGCCUAAAGAUACACUUAGCACUAAGUUUCAGGAGUGCUGUUCUCGAAUAGAGAAAUUGUGGCUAAAGUUUCUUCAAGUUACUGUUGUGGACUAUCGUGAAAUCAUUCUUCCCCUUGCAAGAUCAUACCAAUGGAUAGAAUUGAAGAAACGGAUUCCUUUUUAUCUAAAUCAUCCUGGUACCAGGCGUCUUGGAUUUGCUGAUGCCAAUAUUGAUAUUAUAUGCGGAACUUCUGGCCACUCUGUCAAGGAAACGGCAAGCACCUCCAGUUCUCAACAAAGCCUUACUGUUUCCCACAAGAACAAUGCUGAUAAAGAAUUGUCUAUCUUGAGUGUAAUCAUACAGUCAUUGUGCAAUCUGAGGCAUUUCAGAGAUAAACUUCUGAUGGGGCCACUUGUAUGGAUCCCGUCAGUUGAUAAUCCCUGCAUUGCACAGCAAUUUUAUGAAAUCUUCUCUUCUUGGGAGAAAAACGACCACCACUUAACCGAUGUUGUACUGACUUACAUGAAGACUCUUCUCUGCAGAGUUGUAGAUUGCAGCACUUUUUAUGAAAAGGUUGGGAAAACUUUUGCUUCUGAGAUUGUGGCCACAAUUCUCAUUGAAUUGCAUAUGUCAGAAACUUGUUCGCGUUUUAGAGAAAACAAGGAGACCGAGAGACAUGUAGUGAACCGAAUCACGUGCGGAGAUUGCAUAUGCCCAACACAUUAUCUUUUUGGGAUCAAAUUCGAUGCUCAAAUCAGCUGUAGCUGUGGGAAGUCUUCCGGUGGAUACCUGUAUACCACACUUUUCCAUAAACUUGAUGCCGGUUCACCUCAAACAGCAAAGAUCAAGUCCUCUGCAGAGCUUCCGGUUCUAUUGGAUGAACAGUUCCGCGAGGACAACAAAUGCGACCAUUGUGGAAGUCUGCAGAAUAUUGAUCUUUUUCUUGCAAACACACCACACUUCUUUACAAUAGUUUUGAACUGGCUGGGUGGCAGUGAAAGCCAGGACACACUAUCUGAAGUUCUGGCUGGCAUCACGUCUCCCCUUGACACUGAGUUCUUUUGCAGAAGUGCUCAUUCUGCAGCUAUGUAUGCUGUCACAUCCAUGGUACGUGCACAGCAAACUAUUCUAUUUUCCUAAAUUGAAUUGUUAAUGGAGCUGAACAAAUAUUUUUAUCAUUUAAUUCUCAUGUUAAGGUAAUCCUGAAAUGAGAAAAAGCAAUGAGCUAUUUGUAUUGGUUGACGUUCAUGACCUUUUGUAAGUUGUGUUGCUAAUUAUUUACUGUUCCUUGACUGUUACUGGAGGCCAAGUUGGUAUUGUUCUAAGACUGAAGCAAGGUUCUUACUUUUGUGGAACAAAACGGAUCAUGGUUAAACGGCGUUGUCACCUGGUUCAAAUUGCCUAUUUUACAUUGACAAGGCAUUUUGCUGCUAUGUCUAAAGAAGUGGAUAGAAGGUUUAAACUAUGAUACAUCAUAUCUGAGUUGGUUCGUACUUGGAGUUGGAGAGAUAUUUGCAAGUUUUCGAAUGGUCCUAUCUGUGGCAUAUUUUUUCCUGCCUACUUCACUUAUAUCAAGAUAUUUAGAAGACUCGACAGAAGAAUUUCAGCAAGAAUCAAUAGCUUGUGUGAUCCUUACGUCGCUGAGUUCUUUUUAUAAACGUUCCAUUGAUUGAACGGUUGAAGAAGUAUCAUAUGUAGAUCUGCUAUGCUGAUGACCGCUACCUCUGCUUUGCUCGCGACGAGGACAAGUGGGUCAUAUAUGGCUUCGAGACUGUUGAGAGAGAAGAUAGUUGGGAGCAUUUGCUAGAACGUUUCAAGGACUGCAAGCUCCAGCCUGAAUUUCUAUUUUUCGAGGUCAUCAAGUAGACUGUUGUAUAGCUACUUUGCAGAAUGCAGACCUCUGUCUGACGAUCAGAGCCAACUCUGGACCCAGUUUUUUUUUUGUUUCAUUGCCACUAUUUUGAUGUUGUUUGGCUUGAUCACUCUGACAUACGAAUACAGAUAAAUUCUUCAGAGAUGGUAUAAAUUGUUCUGUGUGUUCUUAACUCGAAA